rnacentral:rRNA from 1 species
AGGAUUAGAUACCCUGGUAGUCCACGCCGUAAACGAUGUCGAUUUGGAGGUUGUGCCCUUGAGGCGUGGCUUCCGGAGCUAACGCGUUAAAUCGACCGCCUGGGGAGUACGGCCGCAAGGUUAAAACUCAAAUGAAUUGACGGGGGCCCGCACAAGCGGUGGAGCAUGUGGUUUAAUUCGAUGCAACGCGAAGAACCUUACCUGGUCUUGACAUCCACAGAACUUUCCAGAGAUGGAUUGGUGCCUUCGGGAACUGUGAGACAGGUGCUGCAUGGCUGUCGUCAGCUCGUGUUGUGAAAUGUUGGGUUAAGUCCCGCAACGAGCGCAACCCUUAUCCUUUGUUGCCAGCGGUCCGGCCGGGAACUCAAAGGAGACUGCCAGUGAUAAACUGGAGGAAGGUGGGGAUGACGUCAAGUCAUCAUGGCCCUUACGACCAGGGCUACACACGUGCUACAAUGGCAUAUACAAAGAGAAGCGACCUCGCGAGAGCAAGCGGACCUCAUAAAGUAUGUCGUAGUCCGGAUUGGAGUCUGCAACUCGACUCCAUGAAGUCGGAAUCGCUAGUAAUCGUAGAUCAGAAUGCUACGGUGAAUACGUUCCCGGGCCUUGUACACACCGCCCGUCACACCAUGGGAGUGGGUUGCAAAAGAAGUAGGUAGCUUAACCUUCGGGAGGGCGCU